AAGCUCUCAAACAAUUUUGGUCUGAAGGCAAGUGUUUUGCUAUGUUCAUCAUUUCAUACUGGUUCUGCCCAUUUGCAUAAUUGUGUAUCUUUUGUUUCAUAUAAUAACGUUUCCCUCUUGUAUAAUUGUUCUUGGCUUCUUGCAUUGUACUUCCUAGAUAGGUGAAAGUCCAUCGAGUUUAAUCUUCUCUAUUAUCUAAGCAUCUUUCAAGAUGUGAAUUUUAAUGUUACUGAAAAUGAUAUCAUCAUGUUUCAACUUUGGAUUAUUUUUUACCACCUGUAUUCAAGUACUAGAAUUGACAAUUGAAUAGAGUAGUUUGAAGGGUAUCUGCUCUACGUGUCCUUGCUUUUUUAAUUCUGAGACUGCUUGUUACUGAAAUAACACACUUCAUAGUGUUCUAUGAGAUUUUGCCUAUGUUUUGGGUGCCUACAGUAGGAGACAGAAGUUCCAUUUUUGUAUUGAGUUUCUGGAUGGGAAAAUGCCUGUGUCCAAACUGCUUUAGUGUAAGCCUGAGUCUGACAUAAGCCUCCAAUUAUAAUUUUGAAUAAAAUGCGAGUUUGGACUUAAUUUUUUUGUACAUCCAGUUAGAAGAAAUUGGAAGUUAUUUAUUGUCCACAUCCUUAUCUGACAUCAGGGUGAUUGGUUAUUUGUUCUCACAGGCAGAGCUGUGUGAGUAGGAGAGUGGCAGCAUGAUGGGUUCCAAAUCAGUACCUACUAUUACUACUACUCGAGAUGCAUUUACUACUACUCGAGAUGCAUUGAUUCUGAUAGUACGUUACACAGUUUUUAGAUUUGAUCAGUCGUAUACGUUGCUUGUGCCCAUGUACUGUUGACGGAAGCUUUUGCUGGGUAGGGCGGCAUUUUUCAUUUAUGGGUGUAAAUUAGUCAUGAUUUUGGUUCACCCAGUGCUGGCUUUUUUCAUAUCGGCGAUCGUCAAUCACCCUAUUCCAUCUGUUUGUUACAAUUGGUUUAUUUUUGUACCAUAUCUCUAAUACGCGUGGAAGUUUGUUAGUUUGGCAAUGUUUUGCUUUGACUUUUGAGUAGCUGCCAUCUUGUUGAAUUUCUUUGUUUUGGUACACUGCAAUCUGGUGACAUUAUUGUACGUAUUUUCACUCCAUGAAAAAAGUUGCAGCAAAUGUGUGUCAAACCGUUUGCAGCUUAUGUUUAUGUCAUCUUUACUUCCCGAUGAAAAUUGAGAUCAGAAAAUUGCAGCCUGUGCACUCACAUCUUCUCCAUCUUUGAACUUUACAUGGAAACGCAACUUACAGAAUAAUCAAAUGGAGGAGACCAAAUUAUAUCCUCUUUUUCAAAUAUUGCUUACCAGUUCCCCUGAAUAUAUAAGAAAACUUUUAUGUCGAUGUCAUGUUCUCUCCCUCAGAGUCGUAGGUCGCCUCUUCUGGUUUGGUCCAUAGCUUGUGAUCCUCGAUGCAUGUAUUUAUUUAUGUUUUCUUGAAAAUGUCAAUUACGAUUUCUAUAAUCAAGUGGAGUAGGCAGAGAUUAAUUACCCUGUUUAUAGUCAACUUUAAAAGCAAUUUAGAAUGUUAAGAGGAUUACAUAAAAAGAUACCCUGUUAACCAUUUAGCUAGAUUUCAGACUUCCGAGUUAUUUCCAGAAAAAACGACCAGAGAGAGAUGGGUAGCUCUUCCCGUACAAUGAAUGGUGGGGAUGCCAAAUACAGCUACUAUGUUUACUAAUCAGGUACGUCCAGACUUUUGCUUUCUUCCUCCCCUACUUAAAUCACUGUAGCCAAAAAUUCACACAUAUGUAUACAUGAAUAGCUACGGCAUACGAGCCAGGUUUCUGUGCAUACGUACAGCGGUAGGGUUCAUAGUCUAUUUUGAUUUUAAAAGAUUGUUAACCAUAUGAGUUUGUAUAUUACGUGUAGAGAGAGGCAGCUGAUCUAUCAACUAGAACGCUGGUGGCAGCCAUAGUCGAAAACCUUGACAUUGAUGCUCAGUCUCCUGCUACAAGCUCAUUCCGGAUUGCUGACUUAGGUUGUUCUACAGGGCCUAAUACAUUUUUCGCAAUCAACAACAUCAUUGAAGCUGUAGCACAAAAAUACCAGCUGGUUAAAGGCCACUCUGCUCAUCUCCCAGAAAUUCAAGUUUACUGUAGUGAUCUUGUGUCAAAUGAUUUCAAUCAUCUCUUUGCCAAUCUCCCUCAAGAUAGGCGAUACUUCGCGGCUGCAGUUCCGGGAUCUUUUCAUGGAAGGUUGUUUCCUAAAGCCUCCCUAGAUUUUGUUUACUCUGAAUAUGCUCUCCAAUGGCUUUCUAAGGUACCACCGGAGACACUUGACUCCAACUCACCUGCAUUUAACAAGGGGAGGAUUAUGCAUGAAAAGUCAGCUAUUGAAGUUGUUCAGGCAUUUUCGGAUCAGUAUGCCAAGGACAUGCAGUGUUUCUUCGAUGCUCGAGCACAAGAGCUUGCUCCUGGAGGGUUAUUGUUGAUGUUGAUUCCAGGGCGUCCGGGGGCAACUCUUCCGGCACAACAUCCCAGUUAUCCGCGUUUUGAACCCUUGGAGUCCAGUCUAUCCGAUAUGGUUAAUGAGGUAUAUCGCCUAUCAGAUUUUGGAUCCAACUUUUAUGAUAUGGAGGGAUUGCUCUACUGCAAAUAUUUCGGAGAACCUUAAAAAAAAAAAAAAGGAACUUCAGCCUGCCUUAUUUCUAGAUCUCAUUUCCGUCCCUGCAUGAGAUGUAACUGUAUUGUUUUCUGGUUUAAUGUGUGCAGGGUUUAAUAGGUGGAGAGAAAUUUGACUCUUUCAACUUGCCUAUCUACUCGCCAUCCGUGGAAGAGCCAAGGAAGAUAAUAGAAAACAGUGAGUGCUUUGAUGUGUUAAGGUUGGAGACUCAACCUGAGAGGCAAAUCCCUCUUUGUCCUGAAGGAACUAGAGCGGGCUGUGAGAAAAUUCUCACCGAACACUUCGGGAGUGAAAUUAUAGAACCACUUUUCGAUCGAUACUCGAAGAAAGUACAAGGUCGUUCUCCCAUUAACUCUCGUGAUGGUUAUCUUGUCGGACUGUUCGUCCUUCUCAAACGCAGACCUUGAUUGUUCUGCAAUAAUGAAGCCAGGCAUGCCCAUCCUUCUUAAGUUAAAGUAUUCAUAUUACAUGCCAGCAGGAGGAGUGUUGUUGUACUAUUUCUCUUAAAUAAAAGAUGUCAAUUAUAUUGAAACUUCAAAGAUGACGGUGUGAAUGACCGACAAAAUGAGCUAUUUCUUAAAACCCUAAGCAAUAACUAGCUAGCAAUAAACUAAAAACUAAAAGAAUGUUUAACUACAACCGAACGCUAAAAUACACCUACCUUUUUAUUUCAAAUAAAGAGAAUGACAUCCCAAUCAUGUAGAUAGUUCAAAGGGAAUGGCAUGCAUGUUGGCUCAUAUUACUCCUAUCUGCGUGGAUUUUGCUUCUCUAUUUGGGUUUUACUUGCUUGGAUCUGCUUGGGUUUUUCUGAGCUUGUCACGUCACCACAAAAACAUCUAACGGUUCUAAAUGAAAACUUGUAAAACACCAAUGUGGACAUGAAACAGCUGAUCUAUUUCUCUGUCUUCUUCUCUGAAAUCUCUUAUAUGCUUUGUAAUUAACCCAAACUCACAAAACACAGAGCUAAAGCACCUCCAAACAACCUCAUAUCCAACGAGCAUUUUAUAUUCUGGUAUGAAAUCCAUCAAGAAGAAAACUCAAUAGAAUAGCUUAGAAACUUGAACCAAAUCAAUCAAUCAAAAACACAAACCAAACAAUCGAGAUUCAAAGGACAAGAAAACAAUUAGAUGACAGAGCACUAGAACCCAAAAAUUUAUCGAAUCUCAGAUUUUUCGUAGAAAUGCAUGAACUUGAUCGAGUUUGGAGACGGGCUCCUCUCAAAUGCUACUGCUUCGCGUUCGUCAUUCGUCAAUAAUCAAACUUAAUAGGACCUAGAGUAAUUGCAUAAUUCAUGUUGGCUGCAAAUAGAUAGAUCGAAGACUUUGUUCUUUUUUCUUCUGCAUAGAGAGAGAGAGAGAGAGAGAGAGAGAGAGAGAGAGAGAGAGAGAGAGAGAGAGAGAGAGAGAGAGAGAGAGAGAGAGAGAGAGAGUAGUAGNNNNNNNNNNNNNNNNNNNNGAGAGAGAGAGAGAGAAAAGGGAUGAAUCUGGGUUUUGUUGUAGAGGAAAUGAGACAAAAAUCACAUACUUCUCGACACAACUUCAAUUUUGGAAGACUUGUAUUUCUAUCCAGACGUGGCAGGCUUAGGGAAAAACCCAAGCAGAUCCAAGCAAAUAAAAGCCAAGCAGAGAAGCCAAGUCCUCGGUGGUGCUCCAUGUGUGCAUGGCCUCUGCCAUGCCUAUUUCACGACAAGCAUGUCUAUCGGCGAUGAACAUCACUCUGGGUAGUGCGGUUGUGCAGAUUGGUGGGUUUGGAUCGGUUUCAAUUGUCAAUCGUAUCCAACCGAAUCGAGCACGCCUCAAAGCAGUCUUGUUGGAGAGAUAUGAGUCUGGGGUGUUGAGACCCUUAUUGGGUCGGCUAUUGUUUGCAGGGAAGGUGGUUGAGAUGAUGAUUGAUCGACAACCGGAAUUUGGUUCUGGUGGGAAUCAGGGUUUGUUCUCAGCAAUCCAUCUUAAGACUCCCCACUGUUUGGUAGGAUAAGCGGCGGCGUCUUGGUGUGUCGAUCUGAGUCCCAUGGAAAGUUCUCAGUUCAGGCUAUGUUGUUGCUGGGGUCAAAGGAUGGUGGCUGGGCAUGCUUCCGAACUCCUCUGACGGCGGAGGCGAUUGGACAUGAAUCAAGGGCGGGGCAGAUCUGGUUUUAGACGUGGGUCUUGGGCCAGAUCUGGAUCCAAGCCUGGGGCAGAGUUUGGGUCUAGGAUCCAGGUGGGUCUUGUGGGCCUUGGGAUCAAACUUUUUUUUUCUUUGGAAAUAUCGCUAGUGUCUUUGGUUUUGGCCUCUAAACUAGUUUUGAUAUUGGUUGAUGGACCCGUAACUAUGGUAUUUGUUCGUUAAGGAUCAUUUGUCAUCAUGUCCAUGUCUGGAAUCACCCUUGGCCAGCUUCGAUACCUUAGGUGGAAGAUUGCCCUCAUUCUGGUGUCGGAAUGGUUUUUAUAUUUUGGGCAUUGGUUUUACAUGGGUAGUCAAAUCACCGGCUACUCAUUUCGCUUAACGGGUGCAAUCCGUAAGCAUAAACCGAGUCCAGGCGUUAUUGUUUUAGCGUUGAUGCUCAUAUUGCAAUUUUACGUUUGUAUGUUUCUUAUUUCUGGAUGUGUUUUCUACAUCAUCUAUUGUAAUCUUUUUCUAAUAAUAAAGUUUGACCACUUUCAUUCCAAAAAAAAAAACUAGCAGGUGUUUCUGGUUCUUUCUAUGGUCGAAUCUCCCCAAUGCCUCCGUCCACUUUUUCCACCCUUCUUUUUCCAUCCAUUGGCUUUCUAGAGUACCAAAAGAUGUAAGUCAUGUAACAGACGCAAAUUCCGAGGACGAUCGAAUACAUUAUUAGACUCCAUAGAUGAAGUAAUGAGAGCUUAUGAAGCUCAAUAUGCCGAGGACAUGGAGAGAGCGUGUCAUAUAGUACAGUAUGGACUAGAUUAUAAAAAGACCGGAAAUUAGUUCUUAAACUAGAACAUUGGCAAGAACAUUUCAGUUGACUUUACUUUUCUUAAAUAAUUAGUUCUGUAUUUCUUUCGGUUCUAGUACUCUACUCAAAAUGAGUUCCACAUGCUCUUCAAAUAUUCCCUCCCUCAGAACAGGCAAUACUUUGUAGUGGGUGUGCCUAGCUGGUUCUUUCCAAGGCCGGCUAUUUCUUAAUGAUUUUCGAAGUUCUUUAUAAUCACAGCUCGGAUGAUUUCAACAAACUCAUAACAUCCCCAGUUUCCUCUUCAUUGUGUUCAAUAGUUCAUCAUCUUAUUCCUUUUUAAUAAAUUUCUAGUGUACCAAAAACUACUGUUGUUUCUUAUGCCAUCUCAAGUGAAAUUGCCAAAGCAUGCAGCUAAUACAAUAUGCUAAAAGACACAUGAUGAACUGCAUUUCUAGGUGGAUGGCAGAGGAGCUUGGAAUUUUUACUUUGGCUUUGGGGAUUUGCGGCACUUCUUAAGUUUUUGCCGUCCACUGUCAACUCUUGAAUCUUUUCAUAUAGACCAAACCAAGAAAGUAUGCCAAUGAUCAUCAUUAGGUGGCUAUAACUCUACCUUGAAGAUUUGAAAGCAAUCCAUAAAUUAAGAUAAUAUUGUGACAUAAUAGUUGAACUAUGUCUACAAAUCCUAAAAUGACAGAACGAAUACAGAAAUAAUAAAAGAAGGUGCGGCGUAAGAAACAACAUGAAAUCGGAGAAUUUAGUGAAGGACUUCUGUUAUCUUCUACAUUUCUUUUAUAAUUUUCUUUUUUCUUUGACUAUGAUUACAGUCAGGUAGCUAGCAUCAGUAUUCUAAAUUUUAUAAAAACAAAUGAUAGUACAAAAUAUUAUAACUCGGUAGCCAGAGAGUGAUAGAGAGGGAAAAAUGGCAGCAGAGGAAACUAGAUUAUCAGAAGCAUUUCCAAGAGAGCUGUAGACAGCUGUAGCCAAUGAAAGCUGGAGAUAGCCCCAACAGUUAUGCCAAGAACUCCACAUACUAGGUUCUUCUCACUAACCUUUAAUGGGUAUAUAUUGUACUUAAGAACAAAUCACCUCUCAUAUUUGUUCAGCACAAUUCCUCUAUUGGUCCUCAAUCACUACACUAGGUUAAAAUCAUCAUAGGCCUGAUAACAGACAAUCAUCAUAGACUUGGAAAAAAUCAUCAUAUGCCUCAUUUGAAAAAUGACUUGUGUGAACUAUACAAUUCUGUAGAAACACCAUUAUAGUUUUGGAUUCCCUAUUAUAGAAGUGGCAUGCACAAACUCUACUUUUGCAGAGAGGAGUGGCCGAUGCUGCCAAAGAACUUCUGAAAAAGGCCAUUGCAGAAAAUCUUGACACGGAGAUCUUGUUGUCUUCAAACACAUUCCACAUUGCAGAUUUGGGUUGCUCUGUUGGACCUAAUACAUUUUAUGCAGUAAAAAACAUCCUUGAAUCUGUAAGGGGACGAAUUCCCAAAUCCCUGAAUUUCAAGUUUUCUUUAAUGAUCACACCACAAAUGACUUCAACAUUCUCUUCAAUUCACUCCCUCACAACAGGCAGUACCAUGCCGCUGGAGUUCCUGGUUCUUUCUAUUGCCGCAUAUUUCCUAAUGCAUCAGUUCACUUUUUUCACUCUUCCUAUACCAAUCAUUGGCUUUCUAGAGUACCAAAAGAUGUAACUGACAGCAACUCCCCUGCUUGGAAUAAAGGAAGAAUACACUACUUAAAAUCCACAGAUGAAGUUGUGAGGCUUAUGAAGAUCAAUACGCCAGGGAUAUGGAGUGCUUCCUGCAUGCCAGGGCACAAGAGACAGUACAUGGAGCACUAAUGGUGCUCACUAUUGCAGGCCGACCUGAUGGUACGCCUCACUCACAUGCUUCAUCAAACGUUACCUAUCAACUUUUAGGAACUUGCCUCAGUGAAAUGGCUAAGAGGGUAAGGAUAUUGAGCUAGUCUACCAUGCAUGAUCCUAAUUUGUAUCACAUAAUAGUUUGAUCUGCUAUAAACUUAUAACUCAAACAUGGAAGACGAUGUUUCUAUAAUAGGACUUCAAAAGCAUUCAGUGAUUUCAAUAUCUGGGUCACUACUGCACUCCUAAAUGAUUUUGAUGAUAUUGUUUAAAAGCAUCAUGUUCUUUGAUAUGCAGGGAGUAGUUAGUGAAGAUAAACUAGAUGCAUUUAACAUUCCAAUUUACUGCAUGUCUCCCCAAGAACUGGAAGCUGCUGUUGAACUAAAUGGAUGUUUUAGCAUAGAGAGUAUGGAGAUCUUACCUCAUGUCCCAACACUUGACUGUGUCUCUGACACUGCUCCACUCGUUGCAUUGCAUGUUAGAGCUGCUACAGAAGGACAGUUUAAGCAGCAUUUUGGGGAUGAAAUCUUAGACGAGCUCUUCGACUUAAUCACAAUACUACAAUAAAACUUUGUGAAGAUAAGUGUCAAAUGAGAUACUUAUCUUACUGUUCAAUGAAUUUCAAGUUUCCAUUUAAUGUACCUCCUGAUUCUAAAGUUGUCUAGUUUCCAAUGCCCU
rnacentral:lncRNA from 1 species